rnacentral:rRNA from 1 species
UUUUUUUUUAAGGGAUAAAGUAACCAGUUUCCGUAGGGAACCUGCGGAAGGAUCAUUACUGAGUGCGGGCUGCCUUCGGGCGCCCAACCUCCCACCCGAUGACUACCUAACACUGUUUGCGUUCGGCGGGGAGCCCUCUCGGGGGCGCGCCGCCGGGGACUACUGAACUUCAUGCCUGAGAGUGAUGCAGUCUGAGUCUGAAUAUAAAAUCAGUCAAAAACUUUCAACAAUGGAUCUCUUGGUUCCGGCAUCGAUGAAGAACGCAGCGAACUGCGAUAAGUAAUGUGAAUUGCAGAAUUUCAGUGAAUCAUCGAGUCUUUGAACGCACAUUGCGCCCCCUGGCAUUCCGGGGGGCAUGCCUGUCCGAGCGUCAUUGCUGCCCAUCAAGCCCGGCUUGUGUGUUGGGUCGUCGUCCCCCCCGGGGGACGGGCCCGAAAGGCAGCGGCGGCACCGUGUCCGGUCCUCGAGCGUAUGGGGCUUUGUCACCCGCUCGAUUUAGGGCCGGCCGGGCGCCAGCCGACGUCCAACCAUUUUUCUUCAGGUUGACCUCGGAUCAGGUAGGGAUACCCGCUGAACUUAAGCAUAUCAAUAAGCGGAGGAAAAGAAACCAACCGGGAUUGCCCCAGUAACGGCGAGUGAAGCGGCAAGAGCUCAAAUUUGAAAUCUGGCCCCUCCGGGGUCCGAGUUGUAAUUUGCAGAGGAUGCUUCGGGUGCGGCCCCUGUCUAAGUGCCCUGGAACGGGCCGUCAGAGAGGGUGAGAAUCCCGUCUUGGGCAGGGUGCCCGUGCCCGUGUGAAGCUCCUUCGACGAGUCGAGUUGUUUGGGAAUGCAGCUCUAAAUGGGUGGUAAAUUUCAUCUAAAGCUAAAUACCGGCCGGAGACCGAUAGCGCACAAGUAGAGUGAUCGAAAGAUGAAAAGCACUUUGAAAAGAGAAGUUAAACAGCACGUGAAAUUGUUGAAAGGGAAGCGCUUGCGAACCAGACUCGGCCUCGGGGUUCAGCCAGCAUUUCGUGGCUGGUGUACUUCCCCGGGGCCGGGCCAGCGUUCGGUUCGGGCGGCCGGUCAAAGGCCCCAGGAAUGUAUCGUCCUCCCGGGACGUCUUAUAGCCUGGGGUGCAAUGCGGCCAAGCCUGGACCGAGGAACGCGCUUCGCACGACCGCGGAAUCUUGGCAAAUGUUUUUAAAACUUUUUUAAAAAAACAAAAAAAA